AACUCAGUAUAAAAUACAUGUUCCAAUGGUGCAGCACUUGAUUUUUCUACUCAAUCUUUGAUACAUCCAGCACCAUGAUGCUCUUUCUGAGGCUUACACUACUCACCCUGCUUCUUGCAGCCCCUGACUUGCUUGUUUCUGGAGAGAAUAUGAUUACCUGCUAUGGUGAUGUCCAGCGCCUCACUUGUGGAUUUCUAUGAAAAGGAGCAGGCUUCCGAGAUGCCCUGCCAAAAAUCAAGAGAUAUCCAGAGAGCAUUACUUCUGUGGUCAGAAAAGAAUGGC